UACGGAGGAUCCAAGCGUAUCCGGAUUUAUUGGGUUUAAAGGGUGCGUAGGUGGCCUGUUAAGUCAGGGGUGAAAGACGGUAGCUUAACUAUCGCAGUGCCCUUGAUACUGAUGGGCUUGAAUGAACUAGAGGUAGGCGGAAUGUGACAAGUAGCGGUGAAAAUGCAUAGAUAUGUCACAGAACACCAAUUGCGAAGGCAGCUUACUAUGGUUUUAUUGACACUGAGGCACGAAAGCGUGGGGAUCAAACAGG
rnacentral:rRNA from 1 species